CUCUGCCGCCAGCUGCUGUUCUGCUGUAGGAUUAUAAUUUUUAAGUUGAAUUUGACCCCAGGUUGCACUCACCCUAACUGGCUUCAAAUAAGGACAGGUGACCGGUCAAACUUGUUCCCUUAGAUUAAACUGGUAAUCAGCAACUGAGGCCUUAUUUAAACUAAAUUACUACACAGGAGUAGCAGAGCCCAUGGCAAAUAGUUUUCUUGACCAAGGUGAUGACCAGACCAAUUCAAACUAAAGACGUAACUCUGUGAUUCUCAGAGUUGUAGGAAACAAGCAAGACUGAAUUAGAACAAAUGAAAUUUCUCUAACUCAUGCAUUUCUGAAUUACAGUCUAGCGUGUCCAAAACUAUUUCGAUCAUUAAUUUCACCAACUCUGACGGCAAAGACCAAGUGCAGUUUCCUUCACCUUGAAUUUUCUUCUUGGGAAAGGAAAUACGGUGGCAGUUACUGGACCAACCAGCUUACCCAGUGCUGAAGUAUCCUUUUAAGUGCCUAGCCUAACAACAGGAGCCCUUGCACUCUGUCUCCUGUGAUCAUUCUAAAAGCCGACAUUCAAAGAGAACGCUUGUCUUCGCCUCUCGUCAGCCUUGAAUGGGCAAGUGACACUGUGGACCUUCGCUACCCUCCCUCCUUAAGGCCAGCCGCGCCUGUGCAUUUACAACACUUGCUCUAAGUUCUGCAACAGCCAUGUGCUAACACCACUGCAUGUCAGAAAAUCUAAAUACACCAGCCUGAGAAGACACAGGCUCCAUGCUUAUUUGAAUAAAGGUGAAAAGAACCAACCACUG
rnacentral:lncRNA from 1 species